UCGGUUAAUUGCCAGCGUUGAAUUGUCUACAAGAAUAUGCUACGGGCUUAUUUAUAUGAGGUGCGUAUGCCGAGCUAGAAAAAUAAACAAAAAAAAGAAUUUUUUUUCCUAUGUUAUUUAAAUGGGAAAUGAAAAAUUAGGGACAGACACCUUUAAAUAUUAAUAUUAAGAGCUCCGCUUUGAACAGGCUUCUGUUCUCACCUUCAUGCAAGUUUUCAGCCUGUUUUUUCGAUGAGAAAAAAAAGUCGCCUAAAAUUGAAACACCCUAGUA